CACACGCGCGCGCGUGCACGCGCCCCGAAGUGGGCGGAGGGCGCACGCGCACGGUCCCCUCCCUUCCCCCGCAGGGAGCGCGCGCCCCUUCCCACCCCCCUCCCCUCCCCUCAGACGGCGCGCGCUUCCCGCCGCGCGCGGUCCCACGGGGCGCGCGCCACUCCCGUCCCGGGCGCGCUCCGGUGGCGCGGAGGAGACGCCGCCCGCGAGGACGGGCCCGAGCAGCCCCCGCGGCCUCUCCUCACCUCCGUGCCCGCAGACCUGGAAAACCAGAUUUGCCAGGCCCGGAGGAUUUCACGUCGGAGAGAUAAAGGCAAUGUCAGAGAUGUGAGCAGUGGUCAGAGAGCUCGGGAGGACGCUAGAUUUCAGGAGAGAGGAAGAGGGAGAACACGGCACAUAAAAUUCCAAAGGGGGGAAUAGGUCAAGAACUGUCAAUCAUUCUAGCCUCCAUUCCCAGAAAAGUAGUGAAGCAGAUGAUCACACAUCUUUAAGUACAUGGUAGCUAAUGAAGUGAUAAGCUACAGCCAAGAUGGAUUUGUCAAGAAAAUCACAUCAAGCCACGCUCAUCCCAUGCUGUGACAGUGUAACAGGCCCUGGAUAUGAGUAGCCCUCGAUCUGUUAUGGCUUGACUUGAGUAAGGUUUUUGACACUAUCUCAGAGAACUCUUAACUGAGCAACCAAAAGACAUAACAUACUAAAAUGACUGCAGUGGUACAAAAUUACAUCAGCAAUGCUUCCCUCUGACAAAUAGUGGGAACAGCAAAUUCCCUGGAGGUGGGCAUGUCCUGAGUUUGGUACCAAGUCUAAUUAUAUGACUGGCAGAGUACAGUUUACAUGGAUUGGAUUUGCCAGCAAUGCCAAAUGGCAGAGCUGGAAGUACAUUGCAGUGCAAGAAAAAUUCAAAAUACUCUUGAAAAAGUGGUUGUAGAAAUAGGAUGCAAUUGAAUAAAUACAAGUGCAAACUUCAACAUUUAAGCAGGAAAAUAACUGCACAAUUGCAAGACUGGGAACACAUGAAUAGACACUGGAUUUACAGAAAAGGGGUUGGGGAUCAGAGUAAAUCACAAACUGAACACGCAUCAACAAUGUCACACUGUUGUGAAAAAAGCUGCAGAACAGAGAGAUGUGUAAACAGAACUGUCAUAUCUAGGACAUAUAAAGAAUUUCUCAUAUUUGAUACUGGUAAAGGCUUAUCCCUAUGUUCAGAUUUGGUCUCUGCAUUUCAAGAAAAAUUUCUUUCAAAAAAGUCCAAUAGAACACAGUACAAGGAAGGAGGGAAAAAUCAACAUUUUUAAAAGAUGUGACCCGAAUUGAAAAGAGGGAUGUGUCUAGUGAAUAAAAGACUAUGGGAGAAAAAUACAGUUUCCACUGAGUCCAUUGAAGACAGGGCAAAACUUAACAGUUUCAAACUGUACUGAAAGAAAUUUCGGUUAGACAGUCAUGGAUAAAUAAAACUGGCAUAUAUUCUUUAUAGGGUUCUGGAAAUGUUAUUAGCAUCUUUUUUAAAAGAUAAGAAAAAUUUACAUAAGAAAAAUUUAGAAGCAUUUGACUUUGCUGUGAAGUAAUGGAGACAGACUAGGUAAUAAUUGUUUUCAGCAUAAUUUCCUGUAACUAGUUACUAUCCAGAUAUCUGUUCUGAUCCUAUUUUUUUUUCUGAUAAAAGUGAAUCCCAGAGACAUUUCAACAUCUAAUGUGUUGUUGUGAUCUUAUGCACAGGUGUAGAUAUCCCCUUUGGGAGUCUUUGUCAUGUUACAUUGAGUAUAGCUGUGUGCCAACAUAUGUCACAUGCUCAGCUAAUUUGCUAAUUUAUAAACUUUAUAUAUCACAAUAAAUUCCACAUUUAAAAAUAAUGUGUUUGUUAGUGCUCACAUAACCAGUGUGUAUUGAGGCUUUUGCUUUUAUUUGCUUUUUUUUCAUGGUACCAGAGACCAAUUUUCCCCAGAAUCCAUUAAAUUCGGGGGGUUCUCUGGAGCUUGCCAGUUAGGAGAAAGCAGUGUGAAUGGUUUAUGUUGUGGGACUGAGACCUACCAAACUCAACUCAUUAGAGAUGACUAAAAGGCCAUUAAAUAGGCCAGUUUUUAAUCUCCACUGAGUUAGACUGAAUUCAAACUGAUAGCCCACAGGCAAAAGGCUAUGAAUUUCAUUAACAGUACCCUAAAGCACUCAGUCCCCUAAUGAGUGCUAAUAUUAUUCUUCUGAGAGUUAAGCUUGUUUUCUGAAAAUAUACAUUUAUAAAAUCGAGUUCUGAUAUUUUGGAGCAUGUAUGGACAGUUUUUCCACUGCUUUUUAAACACAAGGAACAUGAUCAUCUUGUGCAAUCCACAGACUUCUUGUAAGAUUCUCAGUCAUAUGUGCUCCGUGCUAACUAAAGUACAAACAAUAAAAACAUGAAAAAGCAAAUAUUAAUACUGCCCCAAUGCUUCUUGCUAAAUAUCAUAUAUUUUAUUGUAUGUGAUCAUUUGAAGGUCAUCACACUUAUUCAAGUAUAUUUUGUCCCCUAGCAGAUAACUUUUAAGAAACAGCAAUUCUCACUGCAAUUCUGUAAUUAAUACUUAAAGGAAAACACCAAAUUCCAUAAAAGCAUUAACUUCUAGAAAAUGGAGUGUUUUAUUAUACUUCAUAUCUAUUUGUGAAGAGGUAAAAUGCUUAGCAUAAGGAAAUCUGAACUUUAGUUCUAAUGCUGCCAAAUCCCACAAUUUAAGAGUUUAAAGGUAUCUAGCAAUCUUUUUAAUCUCUCAAUUUAGCACUUGAACUAGAAGGCCCAAUUCCAUUAGCAGUAGUGGACUCUAAAAAAUACUUAUGAUUCACACAAUCUGUGGAUCAAAAGAAAAAUCCACAUUUGGCAUGAAUGGAGAACCUAACUGCAGUAUUUCAUCAAAAUGGCAGUGUGGGAAAAGAUUAUGUCCAGUGGUGUCAGAAGUCCUGUUUCAAUCUCUAAUUCUACUUCUAUUGCCACUUAUAAUAUAUGAAAAGUAGUAGAUGAUCUUAAAGGUUGCAUGUUGGAUUAAGAAGACCUGAGAAAUAUACACAAAAUGACAGAAAAUUGGGAUUGCAUGAGUGCAUGAAGUAGAAAUUUUAGGACCAGCCUCCAGUGAGACACUCUAAGAUCAGUGAAAGAACGUGUGUGGCCGGUAAAGAACCACACAAUAGGAUUCUUGAAAAUCAAGCCAGAUACUGCACAGGUGGUUUUUUGCUUGCAGGAAUUCUGGCUGUGUCCUGUAUUAUUUCUCCACCAAUGCAGACGAGGCCUAAUAAUGGUUUUAAAACAGCAUUUGAAAAACCUCUUAAGAUAAGGUUGCUACCUAGUUCCUUCUGGUCUUCAACAAGGCUAGAAAAUGGUUAAACCAAGGCAGGAUUUUUCAAGUUAGCAGCAAAAUAUGAUUAACUGAAACCAAUUUAGAAACUGUUUCUUCAUAUAAACAUUUUUGUAGCUGGAGUUGCAGAGGGAGGGUUGGAGCAGGUCUAAGCUGAAGCACUUGGAAUGAAAGAAGACUGCAAAUGCAGCCUUGUAAUACACAGGAAAAUCCAGAAUGCUCAGAGGCAAAAACUUUUUAGUUAUAAUUCCUUACAUUUAUAUAGCACCUUUUAUUCUCUAGAACCCCAAGCACUUCAUUAACUCUAUGCAAAAAGCUUCACAAUGGAAAUAUAGCCACUAUAUGCAUCAUUCUUUGAAAAUUUCAUUUUCAGUUGACUCAUUUCUUUCAAUAAUAACAUAUUCUGCUUAUCCUGUCUACAGCAACCAAAACAACAACAGAUAAAAUACCAAACUACAGUUUUCACUUGUAGAACAAUUUAUGCCUGUAUGGUUUACAAAAUAGAAAUGUACUCAUGUAAUGGAUACAUUGCAUUUAGUCCAUCCAUUUUCAUUCUCCAUUUAUUAUUUUGAUCUCAUCUUUAUAUCGUAGCACUUGGUAGACAAUUUUGUCUUCCAUAAGAUUUUCAAAAUUGCAAUGAUUCUUGAUAUCUGAAUUUCAGACAAAAAUGGGCUUUAUAGGAAAAAGUAGCAUCUUUUAUUAAAUUCGCUACUAUAAAUUGGAAAAGCAGAGAAGCUUUUGAGUACCUAAGAUAUAAUGCUGGGGGGAUUUUUAAGCUAAGAUGGUCGUAUAAAUAAAAAUAAUCCCUUAUCCUUACUUAUAAUCCCUUAUCUUUACCUAUAAAGUUUGUCUUGUCUUUGCCUUUAAAGUAUCAUAACUACAAUAACAAGCACCCAGAAACAUAAUGUGAAAGAUAUCUGUGUGUUCUUGCUCAACUUGCCACAGAGUUUUUCUUUUCACCCUACAGUGAUGUUUCUGGUUUCUUGGCCUUUCUUAAAAUGACAUAGUACUGAUUUCACUAAGAUCAACAAAUUUAGGAACUCAAUGUACUGGUUGUUUCAACAAACAGUAAUCAACAUUAUUUCCAUUGAAAUUUUAGAAGAAUUAAUAACAGAAUUAAUUGGACCAGUUUGAUUUAUUUCAACAUGGUGAAAACUGGAAGAGGGAAAAUAAUUUUCCCAACUUUUUUUUUUGCUGUUUGAGCUGUUGAUUCAUGUUUUGUUGGCUUGCUUAUUUCACAGGUUCUUUUGAAAUACAGUUGUCAACGUUAAUUAAA